GGUGUCGUGGCUUAGUUGGUUAAACCGCCUGUCUAGUAAACAGGAGAUCGUAAGUUCCAAUCUCGCCGGUGCCU
rnacentral:tRNA from 1 species